GAUGAACGCUAGCGGCAGGCCUAAUACAUGCAAGUCGGACGGGAUCCAUCGGUAUCUUGCUGUCCAUGGUGAGAGUGGCGCGCGGGUUCGUAACGCGUGAGCAACCUGCCUCCGUCAGGGGGAUGGCCUCGCGAAAGAGAAAUUAACACCUCAUAACAUAUCAGACCGGCAUCGGUCGGAUAUCACAUAUUUAUAGGAUGGAGGUGGGCUCGCGUGACAUUAUCUGGUUGGUGGGGUAACGGCCGACCAAGGGGACGAUGUCUAGGGGCUCUGAGAGUAGAACCCACCACACUGGUACUGAGGCACGGACUAGACUCCUACGGGACGCAGCAGUAAGGAAUAUUGGGCAAGGGGCGGAAGCCUGAACCAGCCAUGCCGCGUGCAGGAGGACUGCCCUAUGGGUUGUAAACUGCUUUUGUCCGGGAAUAAUCCUCCUUACGUGUAGGGAGCUGAAUGUACCGGAAGAAUAAGGACCGGCUAACUCCGUG
rnacentral:rRNA from 1 species